GCCGGUGUGGUGGAAUGGCAGACGCGCUGGACUCAAAAUCCUGUGUACGCGAGUACGUGUCGGUUCGAGUCCGACCACCGGCACCA
rnacentral:tRNA from 1 species